UGCAGUCGNNCGGCAGCACGGACUUCGNGUCUGGUGGCGAGUGGCGAACGGGUGAGUAAUAUAUCGGAACGUAUCCAAUAAUGGGGGAUAACUAAUCGAAAGGUUGGCUAAUACCGCAUACGCCCUACGGGGGAAAGCUAGGGACCUUCGGGCCUGGCGUUAAUGGAGCGGCCGAUAUCUGAUUAGCUAGUUGGUGGGGUAAAGGCCCACCAAGGCGACGAUCAGUAGCUGGUCUGAGAGGACGACCAGCCACACUGGAACUGAGACACGGUCCAGACUCCUACGGGAGGCAGCAGUGGGGAAUUUUGGACAAUGGGCGCAAGCCUGAUCCAGCCAUUCCGCGUGAGUGAAGAAGGCCUUCGGGUUGUAAAGCUCUUUCGCAAGGGAAGAAAGAUUACUCUCUAACAUAGAGUGAUUAUGACGGUACCUUGAUAAGAAGCACCGGCUAACUACGUGCCAGCAGCCGCGGUAAUACGUAGGGUGCGAGCGUUAAUCGGAAUUACUGGGCGUAAAGCGUGCGCAGGCGGUUUUGUAAGUCAGAUGUGAAAUCCCCGAGCUCAACUUGGGAACUGCGUUUGANACUACAAGACUAGAAUAUGUCAGAGGGGGGUAGAAUUCCACGUGUAGCAGUGAAAUGCGUAGAGAUGUGGAGGAAUACCAAUGGCGAANGCNNNCCCCUGNNAUAAUAUUGACGCUCAUGCACGAAAGCGUGGGGAGCAAACAGGAUUAGAUACCCUGGUAGUCCACGCCCUAAACGAUGUCUACUANUUGUUGGUGGANUAAAAUCCAUGANUAA
rnacentral:rRNA from 1 species